GGGCCCGUAGCUCAGCCAGGUAGAGCGGCGGGCUUUUAACCUGGCGGAGGUCCCGGGUUCAAAUCCCGGCGGGCCCGCCA
rnacentral:tRNA from 1 species